UAAAGUGGCUAGUGAUACAUGUAUUACAUAAGGAUGCAGUCGAUGAUAUAGAGUACAGUAUCAACGUAUGCAUAUGAGAUGAACAAUGUAGGGUAAGUAACAUUAUAUAAGGUAGCAUUGUUUAAAGUGGCUAGUGAUAUAUUUACAUCAUUUCCCAUCAAUUCCCAUGAUUAAAGUGGCUGGAGUAGAGUCAGUGUCAUUGACAGUGUGUUGGCAGUAGCCACUCAAUGUUAGUGGUGGCUGUUUAACAGUCUGAUGGCCUUGAGAUAGAAGCUGUUUUUCAGUCUCUCGGUCCCAGCUUUGAUGCACCUGUACUGACCUCGCCUUCUGGAUGACAGCGGGGUGAACAGGCAGUGGCUCGGGUGGUUGAUAUCCUUGAUGAUCUUUAUGGCCUUCCUGUAGCAUCGGGUGGUGUAGGUGUCCUGGAGGGCAGGUAGUUUGCCCCCGGUGAUGCGUUGUGCAGACCUCACUACCCUCUGGAGAGCCUUACGGUUGAGGGCGGUGCAGUUGCCAUACCAGGCGGUGAUACAGCCCGCCAGGAUGGUGGGAGGGUUAAAUACACAACAGGUAAUUAAAUGGCAUUGAAACCAGGUGUGUUGGAAGACAAGACAAAACCAAUGGGAAAUGAAAAAUGGAUCAAUGAUGACUAGAAGACCGGUGACGUCGACCGAGGAGCACCGCCCGAACAAGGAGAGGCAACAACUUCGGCAGAAGUAGUGACAACGGGUUUAGGAUUGUAUAGGGUUAAAACAUUAGGUUUAGUCUCUCAUUCUAAAUGGUUAAGGUAAAGGUCAAGGUUUGGAAAGGGUUAAGGUACUGGUCAAGGAUUGGAUAGGGUUAAGGUACUGGUUAAGGUUUGGAUAGGGUUAAGGUACUGGUUAAGGAUUGGAUAGGAUUAAGGUACUGGUCAAGGUUUGGAUAGGGUUAAGGUACUGGUUAAGGAUUGGAUAGGGUUAAGGUACUGGUCAAGGUUUGGAUAGGGUUAAGGUACUGGUUAAGGAUUGGAUAGGGUUAAGGUACUGGUCAAGGUUUGGAUAGGGUUAAGGUUUGGAUAGGGUUAAGGUACUGGUUAAGGUUUGGAUAGGGUUAAGGUACUGGUUAAGGUUUGGAUAGGGUUAAGGUACUGGUCAAGGUUUGGAUAGGGUUAAGGUACUGGUCAAGGUUUGGAUAGGGUUAAGGUACUGGUUAAGGAUUGGAUAGGGUUAAGGUACUGGUUAAGGAUUGGAUAGGGUUAAGGUACUGGUCAAGGUUUGGAUAGGGUUAAGGUACUGGUUAAGGAUUGGAUAGGGUUACGGUACUGGUCAAGGUUUGGAUAGGGUUAAGGUACUGGUUAAGGAUUGGAUAGGAUUAAGGUACUGGUCAAGGUUUGGAUAGGGUUAAGGUACUGGUUAAGGAUUGGAUAGGGUUAAGGUACUGGUCAAGGUUUGGAUAGGGUUAAGGUACUGGUCAAGGUUUGGAUAGGGUUAAGGUACUGGUUAAGGAUUGGAUAGGGUUAAGGUACUGGUUAAGGAUUGGAUAGGGUUAAGGUACUGGUCAAGGUUUGGAUAGGGUUAAGGUACUGGUUAAGGAUUGGAUAGGGUUAAGGUACUGGUCAAGGUUUGGAUAGGGCUAAGGUACUGGUUAAGGAUUCUAUAGGGUUAAGACAUUGAGUUUAGUCUCUCAUUCUGAAUGGUUAAGGUAAAGGUCAAGGUUUGGAUAGGGUUAAGUUAAAACCAACUAUAAAAACCAGUGUCUGUGACCAGGAUCAAACACACAGCCUUCUGAUCCAGAGGUAUGGGAUUCCACCUCUCCAUCCGCUCAUCCACAACACUCCAGCAAAACCCAGGCCUACUUGAUGGUAAUAGUGCUCACUGUUGCCUCUAGUGGCUGGUUUUGAAGGCAUUUCCCGAUGUCUUCAGGAAAGCGAUAGACGUCCAAUUUCAACAAUAAUCUUGAACGAACUGGCUGCACACACACACACACACACACACACACACACACACACACAAUGCCUCGGAUCCCUAAGCGCUUCCUGCUAGCCGACCUGUGAAUGUCUAUCUGCUAGGAGGGCUCUUACUCUGGCCCUUUGCCUCAUACUUGGAGAUUGCCCCACAUUUGGAGGAGGGAUGGGAUGAUGGUACAAGUCAGUUAGUAUGACGCGAGGGCACUGAGGGAGUGUCCCAAAUGUCAGCCUAUUACCUAUAGUGCACUACUUUUGCCCAGGGUUCAUAGGGAAGAGGAUGCCAUUUGGUAUGGUACCUACCUACUGCAUCAUUUUAAAGAUACUGUAUAGAUAGAUAUAUACAGUACCAGUCAAAGUUUGGACUCAGCUACUCAAUCAAGGUUUUUUCUUUGUUUUGUACUAUUUUGUACAAAACUAUGACACAUAUGGAAUCAUGCAGUAACCAAAAAAGUGUAAAACAAAUCAAAAUAUAAUUUAUAUUUGAGAUUCUUCAAAGUAGCCACCCCUUGCCUCGAUAACAGCUUUGCACACUCUUGGCAUUCUCUCAACCGGCUUCAUGAGGUAGUCACCUGGAAUGCAUUUCAAUUAACAUGUGUGCCUUGUUAAAAGUUAAUUUGUGGAAUUUCUUUCCUUCUUUAAUGAGUUUGAGCCAAUCAGUUGUGUUUUGACAAGGUAGGGGUGGUAUACAGGUAAAAGACAAAGUCCAUAUUAUGGCAACAACAGCUAAGCAAAGAGAAACAACAGUGGGUCCAAACUUUUGACUGGUACUAUAUGUAGUGCACUACUUUUGACCAGGGUUCAUAUAUGUAGUGCACUACUUUUGACCAGGGUUCAUAUAUGUAGUGCACUACUUUUGGCCAGGGUUCAAAUAUGUAGUGCACUACUUUUGGCCAGGGUUCAUAUAUGUAGUGCACUACUUUUGACCAGGGUUCAUAUAUGUAGUGCACUACUUUUGGCCAGGGUUCAAAUAUGUAGUGCACUACUUUUGGCCAGGGUUCAUAUAUGUAGUGCACUACUUUUGACCAGGGUUCAUAUAUGUAGUGCACUACUUUUGGCCAGGGUUCAUAUAUGUAGUGCACUACUUUUGGCCAGGGUUCAUAUAUGUAGUGCACUACUUCUGACCAGGGUUCAUAUAUGUAGUGCACUACAUUUGACCAGGGUUCAUAUAUGUAGUGCACUACUUUUGACCAGGGCUGCUGUUUAACAGGCUCCCAACCAGCUGUGCUAUUGUGUUAGUUUUUUCGCAUUGUUAGUAACUUGUUUUGUACAUAAUGUUGCUUCUACCGUCUCUUAUGACCGGAAAGAGCUUCUGGACGUCAGAACGGCGAUUCCUCACCUCGAACUGGAUGAAGAUUUUUUCUUUAAUGAGUCCGAUGCAAAGGAUUUACUGCUUUGUCAAGGUCCAAAUCCCCGUCAU
ensembl:lncRNA